UACGUAGGGGGCAAGCGUUGUCCGGAUUUACUGGGCGUAAAGAGCGUGUAGGCGGCCAAACAGGUCCGUUGUGAAAACUGGAGGCUCAACCUCCAGACGUCGACGGAAACCGUGUGGCUAGAGUCCGGAAGAGGAGAGUGGAAUUCCGUGGUGUAGCGGUGAAAUGCGCAGAUAUCUGGAGGAACACCGGUGGCGAAGGCGGCGAUCCUGGCCGGAU
rnacentral:rRNA from 1 species